GGGGAUGCCUGGCUUUGACAAAAAGAAUAUCUUUCGCACUGCGCAAACCGAGGUGUCGUUCCUCGUAAAACAGCGGCAAACACAAUAAGUGCAAACUUAUUUACAAAAGUAAAGAACGCGCUCGCUUCGGCGUUUGCACCAUCUUUAUCUUUCGCACGCGUUUAACGUGUGCCAUCGGAACUUCUGACGUCUGAUAGGGGGCUUUCGGUGUCAUAUCAUCAGACUGCGUUUGACGGCGCCGCGCCGUUCAAACUAAGCAACAGCGGAUAGACGCAUGCGCAUCUUGGUUGUUCUCAAAGCGCCUGCGCGACAAAAAAAGAACACCCUAUGUUUGUAGAUGCAGCGUGAAAGACUUUUUGGAUGCGAGUUCAACUCUCGCCAUCUCCACCC
rnacentral:tmRNA from 3 species